GUGUGUGUGUGUGUGUGUGUGUGUGUGUGUGUGUGUGUGUGUGUGUGUGUGUGUGUGUGUGUGUGUCUGUUUGUGUGUGUGUGUAAGUGUGUCUGAGUGUGGCAGAGAGAAAUACGCACUUGUGUGCAAUGUCAUCUACACAUGAUGUGUGUGUGUGUGUGUGCGUGUGUGUGUGUGUGUGUGUGUGUGUGACUGUCUAGCCUCCUGCCGCAGUGUCUGGAAACACAGACGCCCCGAUCACCUACCCGCCCUCCUCCCCGCAGAACCCCCUCGCCGCGCCGGGCUCCCCUGUCAGCUGCAUACCUGCCCCCCCCCCCCCCCCCCCCCCACCGAGAUAACACACACACACCCAUCAGCUAGCACUGAGCGGUACCCCCACCACAACGCGAGCUGACCAUCAACGCCACACACACAUAUGAGCUAAUAAACACACAUAAACACACACUAUGGCACAAACACACGUGCCUGCAACCACACAUAUAAAUCCAGGCACUAUCCCGCAUUAACACAUGCAGAUGCAGACACUUGGACACAAACACACACACACACACAAA